UACGUAGGUGGCAAGCGUUAUCCGGAAUUAUUGGGCGUAAAGCGCGCGCAGGUGGUUUCUUAAGUCUGAUGUGAAAGCCCACGGCUCAACCGUGGGGGGUCAUUGGAAACUGGGAGACUUGAGUGCAGAAGAGGAAAGUGGAAUUCCAUGUGUAGCGGUGAAAUGCGUAGAAAUAUGGAGGAACACCAGUGGCGAAGGCGACUUUCUGGUCUGUAACUGACACUGAGGCGCGAAAGCGUGGGGAGCAAACAGG
rnacentral:rRNA from 1 species